AGCCACAGAUGCUCGGUGCUCUCACGCACGCAAGGCUGCCCUCAAACCCUCAGUAGAGAGAAGAUAAACACUGUCGGAGACUGUACUAGCCUAAAACAGCCAAAUGGAUACAUUUCACACAACAACUUCACAUGACAGUAAAUGCAGCAAAGUGACUCCACAUAGUUCCCGAAGCUCCCCCUUCUUGGUCCUGGGAAGCUGUUUGCAGGAUGUUCUUCGCUCCUUUGAACACGCUGAAAAUACAGAUUCGUGAUCACCUGGUACUUGUGAAUCCACCACAUCUUCCUAGGCGCUGUGGCGCGCGCUGAUGCAUCUGAGGCAGGUUACGCUUUGCCAAGGCCUCCUCCUUAGAGACCGCCCACUCCCACUUAGGAAGAGAGAUAGAUGCCUGGCAUUAGACAGGGAGCAAACGGAGUUUAACUUGUUUUUCAUGCACGGGGGCUCAAUGGGGAAACUCCAUUUGGAAUUGUCCACAGCCCCUAGAAAUGUCUAGAAAUCCCAUCCUCUUGGAGAAGGGGAGGACAGGACACAGAAAUCUUGUUUUAAUAGGCAGACACUAAGGGACCCUUGUCACUCAGCCUCCCUUAGGGAGGACUUAGGAAAUAAGGCACUCUGACUGCUAAAUGGUAGGAGGUGUGUGGGUCUGAGCUCAAGAGCAUGAACCCCUUCCUGCGCUACGGAAACCCUGCUGGCAUUUGGACACAUCACCCUGAUUAACAUCCAACACCAUUGGUCUUAGUCAUUGCUUUGUUGAUGUUGUUUGUUUUUUUUGGGAGGGUGGGGGUCGGGGGAUGUUCAUAGAAAAUAACAGAUGCUACCAUUUUUCCAUCCAGCAUGUGCACUUUCUGUUGGAUAUUAGCUAGUACAAGUGAGCUUCCCAGUGUUCAGUCUGAAAAUUCUAAAGCCCUUUUAAGUCUGAAGAAAGGAAACAGACAAUGUGGCUUGGACCCUAGAACGAAUGGCUUUGGCUUUUCUUCUCGGUGAUACAUUCAUUAGUAAACAACAUUUGGAAGAACAGGAAAAUAUUCUGCUGACAGAAUUUGAUCACUUGGUCAAAGAAAACACAGAAAAACAAAACAAAACAAAUGUUUCAGUAGUGUCUAAAAAUUGUUCAAAGGGCCCUAAUAAAUGCGAAUUUAUUUCUUGAUAUAAUAGCAUAAAGUUAACUAUGCUGCAUAGUACUUCAGUAAUUAUUUGCUUAAAAAAAAUUUUUUUUGACCUGAAGUCUCUCUCUGUCAGCAAGACUGUUUCAUGGUGGCAAAUACAUCUGUUUGAGUCAGAUAGGUUCCAGCUUUCAUAUUUACGAAAAGUGUUUACAAGGAGGAUUUAUUAAAUGGGGUUAUCCAGAAGGAGGAGGGAGGACUUUGAAAUUUUUAAAAUUCUCAUUAUUUUUCUCAUUUCCAAAGCACUGUGAAAAAAAUUGUGAAAAUUAAUAAAUUCAAUGAAACA
rnacentral:lncRNA from 1 species